AUGAGCCACCACAUCUGGCCACAUAUAUUAAAAUUGGAAUGUUACAGAGAAGAUUAGCAUGGCCCCCAUGCAAGUAUGACAGGCAAAUUUGUGAAGUGUUCCGUAUGUUU
rnacentral:snRNA from 1 species